rnacentral:tRNA from 1 species
GACGGGAUGGCCGAGUGGUUAAGGCGGCAGUUUAGAACUGAUUCCAGAGAUUUAGCUGCUUCACUUUGUGAGUGUGAGUUCAAAUCUCACUUCUGUUG